GGUCCUUGUGAGAGGCUCUGAGAAGACCUGGCUCUUCCUGGGGACAGCUCCGUCCCAGAAGCACAUCCCCUAAAAGGACUCGCCACACCAGACAAUGCCCGUGGAGUUGGGGCAGGCUCCUGUCCUGCUGCCACCACCGGCCAAGGCUGAGGAGCUCCUGUUCCCUGGCCCAGAUGCCACCCCCCGAGGGGAGCCCUCCAGCCCCGAGACCGCACGCCAGCUCUUCAGGCAGUUUCCUUACCAGGUGAUGUCCGGGCCCCAUGAAACCCUCCAGCAGCUUCGGAAGCUCUGUUUCCAGUGGCUGCAGCCAGAGGUUCACACCAAGGAGCAGAUCCUGGAGAUGCUGAUGCUGGAGCAGUUCCUGAGCAUUCUGCCUGGGGAGAUCCAGACGUGGGUGCGGAAGCAGUGUCCAGGCAGCGGGGAGGAGGCCGUGACCCUCGUGGAGAGCUUGAAGGGAGACCCCCAGAGGCUGUGGCAGUGGAUCAGCAUCCAAGUUCUGGGACAGGAAGUCUUCUCAGAGAAGGCGGAGCCCGCGAGCUGCCCAGCAGGGGACGCAGGGUCUCCUGCUGAAGAGCCUCAGAAGCUUGGGCUCCGGAACACAGCCCUCGGGCCUGGGGGGCCACUGAGCUGUGUGGUGAAAGAGGAGUCUGACGUGGAGCAAGGUCUAGCAGCGGCUGCCACCCAGCUGCCUGCGCAGCCCGAGCAAAUGCCUGUCGGGAACCAGGACUUCGGAGCCUCCCUUCUCCACACAGCAUCUCAGGAGCAGUGGAGGCACCUGGAUUCCACCCAGAAGGAGCAGUACUGGGACCUCAUGCUGGAGACCUACGGGAAGAUGGUCUCAGGAGGUGCAGGCAUUUCCAGCGCCAGGCCUGACCUGACUGAUCCAGCUGGGUAUGGGACAGAGCUGGCAGGGCCACACCUGCAUGCCAGUGAGAAGAUCCCAAGACCCACCUGCAUAGGGGACAGAGGGGAGAAUGACAAAGAGAACCUGAACCUGGAGAACUACAGGGCCCAGGAACCUCCGGCAUCGGGAGAGCCGCCCCCUCAGGCUCCCUUGAGCAGCCUCUUCAGUGAGGACGAGCCAAGACCCUCUGGAGGAGGAGAGGACCUCUCAGAGGCCCAGGGGAACCUGCGGGGUGAGGGGACAGGGCGUCAGCUCUGCCCCCGGGAGAGGAAUUCCAGGAAGCAGCCAGGCCCGCACCUGCUGCCCUCGCUUCCCGGGGAUUCGCCCGCACCAUGGCUUGAGGAGAAGAGAGAGGCCACCCCGCGGGGGCAGCCAAGGGCCCCCAUGGCCCAGAGACUCCCCACCUGCAGGGAGUGUGGCAAGACCUUCUACCGGAACUCGCAGCUGGUUUUCCACCAAAGAACCCACAGCCGGGAGACGUACUUCCAGUGCCCCACCUGCCAAAAGGCCUUCCUGCGGAGCUCCAGCUUCGUGAAGCACCAGCGGACCCACACAGGGGAGAAGCCCUGCAAGUGCGACUACUGCGGGAAGGGCUUCAGCGACUUCUCAGGGCUGCGCUACCACAAGAAGAUCCACACGGGGGAGAAGCCCUACAAGUGCCCCGUGUGCGAGAAGAGCUUCAUCCAGAGGUCCAACUUCAACCGGCACCAGAGGGUGCACACCGGCGAGAGGCCCUACAAGUGCACCCGCUGCGGCAAGAGCUUCAGCUGGAGCUCGAGCCUCGACAAGCACCAGAGGUCCCACCUGGGGAAGAAGCCCCGCCCGUAG
rnacentral:lncRNA from 1 species